AGUGAACGCUGGCGGUAGGCCUAACACAUGCAAGUCGAACGGCAGCACAGUAAGAGCUUGCUCUUACGGGUGGCGAGUGGCGGACGGGUGAGGAAUACAUCGGAAUCUACUUUUUCGUGGGGGAUAACGUAGGGAAACUUACGCUAAUAACGCAUACGACCUACGGGUGAAAGCAGGGGAUCUUCGGACCUUGCGCGAUUGAAUGAGCCGAUGUCGGAUUAGCUAGUUGGCGGGGUAAAGGCCCACCAAGGCGACGAUCCGUAGCUGGUCUGAGAGGAUGAUCAGCCACACUGGAACUGAGACACGGUCAAGACUCCUACGGGAGGCAGCAGUGGGGAAUAUUGGACAACGGGCGCAAGCCUGAUCCAGCCAUACCGCGUGGGUGGAGAAGGCCUUCGGGUUGUAAAGCCCUUUUGUUGGGAAAGAAAAGCAGCAGGUUAAUACGCCGCUGUCCUGACGGUACCCAAAGAAUAAGCACCGGCUAACUUCGUG
rnacentral:rRNA from 1 species